UCUCCGUUGGUGAACCAGCGGAGGGAUCAUUACAGAGUUGCAAAACUCCCAAACCAUUGUGAACGUUACCUAUCCCGUUGCUUCGGCGGGCGGCCCGGGCCCCGCGCCCGGCGCCCCCCGGCCCCCCGUGGGCGCCCGCCGGAGGUAAACCAAACCCUUGAAUUGCAUGGCCUCUCUGAGUCUUCUGUACUGAAUAAGUCAAAACUCUCAACAACGGAUCUCUUGGUUCUGACAUCGAUGAAGAACGCAGC
rnacentral:misc_RNA from 1 species